GGAGGCAUAUAGGCGCCCGGUGGGUCUCCUGGACUUCAAAUCCAGUGGCUGGUCCUCGAAAAACCAGCGAUGGGUUCGACUCCCAUAUGCCUCCGCCA
rnacentral:tRNA from 1 species